AAGACCAUACUUUCAGUGAUCAUUUCUAUAGUUUGUUACUAGAGAAGUCUCUCUGAAUGUGUAAAGCACAGGAAACCACGAGGAGGAGGCGCAGUGUUGUCUCCUGAGUGUGAAGCCGGCUCUAGAAGUUGCUUUACUGUAAUUGCCACUUGCCAUUGAUGAUGAUUCUUCUCUCCCUUCAUGGGAGAACACAGUAAAAAAAAAGAAGU